AACUGGCAUAAUGGCCAUAGCAGUGCUCAUGUCACGGCCCCAUCAGAUUCUAACGAAUCUGCGAAUUCUGCU
rnacentral:ribozyme from 1 species